rnacentral:rRNA from 4 species
AUAUCCAUUAUGGAAAAUUCAACAUUAAUAUUAUAAUAUUUAUUUAUAAAUAUUAUAAAAAUAGUGUGCAAUUUUUCCAUAUAAGGACAUUGUAAUCUGUUAAUGUAAUAAAUAUUUAUCAUAAGAUUCAAUAAAUAAAAGUUUAUUCAAAUUAGUUAUUUUCCGAUUUCUAACAUAGAAUAAAUUUAAUUGAAUUUGAUAAAUCAUUGACAGAUUUAUUUAUAUAUAGUGCUUAAAUUCUUAAUUGAAUUUUACAAUAAUUUAUAAAUGUAUUUUCAUUUAUUUAUUUAUUGUAUGCACUUAUAUGAUUAACAAUGCUAUAGAUUCAGGAUACCUUCGGGACCCGUCUUGAAACACGGACCAAGGAGUCUAACAUAUGUGCAAGUCAUUGGGUAUUUUUAAUAAAACCCAAAGGCAUAAUUAACUUAACUGUUUUUAAUAUGGGAUUAAUUUAUAUUUUAUUAUGAAAUAUUAAUUCAAUCCCGGGGCGUUCUAUAUAGUUAUGUAUAAUAAUAUUUAUAUUAUUUAUGCCUCUAACUAGAGCGUACCUUGAGCAUAUAUGCUGUGACC